UUAAUUUAUGUAAAGUAUUCAAAAUGGUUUUUCACUGCAAGAGUUUCACUAGCGAAAAAAUGUGCGCCAAAGAAAUGGGUUUUCGGAGCAAGAAGGCUUUGACCGUAUUUUAGACUGACAUAAAAAUUAUCAGUAGUAGGGAAGCUUUCAACAACAACAUGCUGAAGGUUAGACGGAAAAGUCACAAAUAGGUUGAUUGUCAUUGACAUUAAGUAUGGGAACUGGACAAAAUACACGUACUGUAGAAAAUUGUGAUACACUGGAUUAGCAUUGGUUCAGACUUUGGCGGCUUGUUUACGACAGCACAAAAUUAACGAUAGUACAGAGAAGCACACAUAAUUCAUAUAUGGAGUGCUGCAUUGUUACAGUAAUGUGUUCAAGUUGGAUGAAAAUGACACUGUUGAUUAGUGCUCUGUAAUUAACCCUAAUAUUAAUUGGAAUAAUAUAUAU